GUCUUCGAGUCGUUGAUUUCACACUGCCGAGAAAAGCCUCUAGAUAGAAAAUAGGUGCCCGUACCGCAAACCGACACAGGUAGUCAAGAUGAGAAUUCUAAGGUGAGCGAGCGAACUCUCGUUAAGGAACUCGGCAAAAUGACCCCGUAACUUCGGGAGAAGGGGUGCUCUUUAGGGUUAACGCCCAGAAGAGCCGCAGUGAAUAGGCCCAAGCGACUGUUUAUCAAAAACACAGGUCUCUGCUAAACCGUAAGGUGAUGUAUAGGGGCUGACGCCUGCCCGGUGCUGGAAGGUUAAGAGGAGUGGUUAGCUUCUGCGAAGCUACGAAUCGAAGCCCCAGUAAACGGCGGCCGUAACUAUAACGGUCCUAAGGUAGCGAAAUUCCUUGUCGGGUAAGUUCCGACCCGCACGAAAGGCGUAACGAUUUGGGCACUGUCUCAACGAGAGACUCGGUGAAAUCAUAGUACCUGUGAAGAUGCAGGUUACCCGCGACAGGACGGAAAGACCCCGUGGAGCUUUACUGUAGCCUGAUAUUGAAAUUCGGCACAGCUUGUACAGGAUAGGUAGGAGCCUUUGAAACGUGAGCGCUAGCUUACGUGGAGGCGCUGGUGGGAUACUACCCUAGCUGUGUUGGCUUUCUAACCCGCACCACUUAUCGUGGUGGGAGACAGUGUCAAGCGGGCAGUUUGACUGGGGCGGUCGCCUCCUAAAAGGGAACGGAGGCGCUCAAAGGUUCCCUCAGAAUGGUUGGAAAUCAUUCAUAGAGUGUAAAGGCAUAAGGGAGCUUGACUGCGAGACCUACAAGUCGAGCAGGGUCGAAAGACGGACUUAGUGAUCCGGUGGUUCCGCAUGGAAGGGCCAUCGCUCAACGGAUAAAAGCUACCCCGGGGAUAACAGGCUUAUCUCCCCCAAGAGUUCACAUCGACGGGGAGGUUUGGCACCUCGAUGUCGGCUCAUCGCAUCCUGGGGCUGUAGUCGGUCCCAAGGGUUGGGCUGUUCGCCCAUUAAAGCGGUACGCGAGCUGGGUUCAGAACGUCGUGAGACAGUUCGGUCCCUAUCCGUCGUGGGCGUAGGAAAUUUGAGAGGAGCUGUCCUUAGUACGAGAGGACCGGGAUGGACAUACCUCUGGUGUACCAGUUGUCGUGCCAACGGCAUAGCUGGGUAGCUAUGUGUGGACGGGAUAAGUGCUGAAAGCAUCUAAGCAUGAAGCCCCCCUCAAGAUGAGAUUUCCCAACUUCGGUUAUAAGAUCCCUCAAAGAUGAUGAGGUUAAUAGGUUCGAGGUGGAAGCAUGGUGACAUGUGGAGCUGACGAAUACUAAUCGAUCGAAGACUUAAUCAA
rnacentral:rRNA from 1 species